CUUUAUGAUGAGGUAAUUUGCGUUUGAUUCUUCCUGGUGGCACUCUCGCCGGAGUCGCUAUACCAGGCAGACAAGUGAUAUCCAUUUCUUACAUAUCCUGAAC
rnacentral:snoRNA from 1 species